rnacentral:lncRNA from 1 species
GGGCAUCCAGGCUCACGCCAAAAUGUUUUCGGCCCAACCCAUCUUUCCAAAAAGGACCGCUCACCCCUCUCCAACCCUAUCAUUUCCCCUUCCUUCCCUCGAAUCCCUCGUCUCCCAUCGCUGCCAGUGGCUGCAAAUCGAGAAGCGACCAGCGGAUUUCAAGGUCAGUGCAAUGGUCAUUGUAUCCCCUCCCAACCCUUUGUCUCCCGUUCGAGAUUUCUGCAAGGAAGGUAGACGUAGAUGGGUGCGGCAGCAACGACGACAACUGGAGAUGUGUGUAGCGUCCGUGGUUGCUGCAGAUGGUCAUGGUGCCGCCGGUAGCCGCAAGGCGGCAUGGCGCUGGAGGUAGAUGCAAGGGCUGGAGGUAGGUACAGGGGCGCGGCGUGCUUGCAUACAAGAUCUGUUGUUGCAUGCUUGCAUACACGAGAUGUGGCUGCAUUCGUGAACAUGUGUGUGGUGUGUGUUUUCUUACAGGAGGAGUUGGGCGUGUACAUGCUGAAUUUGUGUGGUAUGUCUGUCUGUGCUAAUGUUUCUUCUUUUUUCAUAUGGGAGCUGAAAGGGAAAUAAAAAGGUUGAAUUCAGGGGCUAGAUCUUCAUCUUCUCUUUGAUUUUCUCUCCAAAAUCAGAGGUAAUUUAGUUACUAGCAAACCCUAAUGUUCCUCAUAUGUACUGAUUGAAAGAUGAUGUGCAGGUUGAGUUUUUUUUUGUUGAAGUAAUACCAUUCUUAGUUGAUGAAGUAAUAUCAUUUGUACCAUUGCAUUGUAGAUGAACAAAUAGACAUUGUUGUGGCUUGUGGCAUUAUUCAGAAUUGGGUUUUAAAUGAUGGGAUUGAUGAGUAUAUCAUACCCGAGGAUUAAUGGGUGCCAAAUAUCACUCGUGCUUCAUCGUGAACUGUCCAAGCACAAGAACAAGCAUAUAUGGCUAAUUUUAGGCAAUGGCUUGCCGAUCAAAUGUGGGAAGACCUACAAAACUAUAUGCAACAAAACAUCUAGUAGAUGUAAUGAUUUCUGUGAACUAUUGUGGUUUCUGGAAUUUCAUUGUAAUGACAUAUUAUUUGUUGUAAUGAUGUAGUACUAUUGUUCUUUAUGUUGAAAUACUUACUAGAAUUAAAUUCUUUAUGGUAUAAUAAUUGAUGAUUUGGUUCACUCUCUUCAAAUACAUGCUAAAAUUUAGUUAUUUAUGCUCACAUACUUGCCGAUUUGGUUCUUUAUAAUGUCUAUGUACUUAUUGGAAUUGUAG